rnacentral:rRNA from 1 species
GAUGAACGCUGGCGGCGUGCCUAAUACAUGCAAGUCGAGCGAACAGACGAGGAGCUUGCUCCUCUGACGUUAGCGGCUGACGUGCGUGUCACACGUGUAUCACCUACCUAUAUUUCUGGUAUCACUUCGUGAAUCCGGAUCUUAUCCCGUAUAAUAUAUUGCUCCGCAUUGUUCUAUAGUUAAUUACGGUUUUUCUGUCUCUUCUAGCUUGUUCCGCGCCGCAUUAUCUUGUUGGUAAGGUAACGGCUUACCAAGGCAACUCUGCGUAGCCGACCUGAUAGGGGGAUCGGCCACACUGGAACGGAGACACGGACCAGACUCCUAAGGGAGGCAGCAGUAGGGAAUCUUACGCAAUGGGCGAAAGCCUGACGGAGCAACGCCGCGUGAGUGAUGAAGGUCUUCGGAUCGUAAAACUCUGUUAUUAGGGAAGAACAAAUGUGUAAGUAACUAUGCACGUCUUGACGGUACCUAAUCAGAAAGCCACGGCUAACUACGUG